rnacentral:rRNA from 1 species
ACGGAUUAUAGCUUGCUAUAAUUGUCAGCUAAGUGGCGCACGGGUGAGUAAUAUAUAGUUAACCUGCCCUCAAGAAAGGAAUAACAGUUGGAAACGACUGCUAAUGCCCUAUAUGCCUUUAAUACAUAAGUAUGCAAGGGAAACGCUUUAGUGCUUGAGGAUGGGACUGUAUGGUAUCAGUUAGUUGGUGAGGUAAUGGCUCACCAAGACAAUGACGCCUAACUGGUUUGAGAGGAUGAUCAGUCACACUGGAACUGAGACACGGUCCAGACUCCUACGGGAGGCAGCAGUGGGGAAUAUUGCACAAUGGACGAAAGUCUGAUGCAGCAACGCCGCGUGGAGGAUGACACAUUUCGGUGCGUAAACUCCUUUUAUAUGGGAAGAUAAUGACGGUACCAUAUGAAUAAGCACCGGCUAACUCCGUGCCAGCAGCCGCGGUAAUACGGAGGGUGCAAGCGUUACUCGGAAUCACUGGGCGUAAAGAGCGUGUAGGCGGAUAUAUAAGUCAGAAGUGAAAUCCAAUAGCUUAACUAUUGAACUGCUUUUGAAACUGUAUAUCUAGAAUGUGGGAGAGGUAGAUGGAAUUUCUGGUGUAGGGGUAAAAUCCGUAGAGAUCAGAAGGAAUACCGAUUGCGAAGGCGAUCUACUGGAACAUUAUUGACGCUGAGACGCGAAAGCGUGGGGAGCAAACAGGAUUAGAUACCCUGGUAGUCCACGCCCUAAACGAUGCACACUAGUUGUUGUGAGGCUAGACCUUGCAGUAAUGCAGUUAACACAUUAAGUGUGCCGCCUGGGGAGUACGGUCGCAAGAUUAAAACUCAAAGGAAUAGACGGGGACCCGCACAAGCGGUGGAGCAUGUGGUUUAAUUCGACGAUACACGAAGAACCUUACCUGGACUUGACAUAGUAAGAACUUUCUAGAGAUAAGAUUGGUGUCUGCUUGCAGAAACUUAUAUACAGGUGCUGCACGGCUGUCGUCAGCUCGUGUCCUGGAAAUGUUUGGGUUAAUC